rnacentral:lncRNA from 1 species
AUUAGAAGGGGUAAUUACAGGGAAUAGUUAGGGGGUAAUUAGGGGGGGUAGGGGUAAUUAGAGGGGGGUAAUUAGAGUGGUAGGGGUAAUUAGAAGUUAGAGUGGCAAUUAGAGAGGGUAAUUAGAGGGGGUAGGGGUAAUUAGAGGGGAUGGGGUAAUUAGAAGGGGCUAAUUAGAGGGAGGAGGGGUAAUUAGAGCGGGGAGGGGCAAUUAGCGGGGGUACUUAAUGAGAUACAGAGGCAUUAAUUGGGAAUGGUGAUUAUUAUUAGGCUAAUGGGGGGGGUGGGGAGCUAAUUAGGGCCGCCAUUAGUCCUCCAGCCGCCAUCCAAGCGAUCAGACUAAUUAAUUAGCGACUUACAAAGAUGCUAAUUAGCUACAGCUCAUUAACAAAGGACAUAAUGAAGGAGCUGGGCGCCUCCAGCAGCCAUCAGUCCUCCCAGCUGCCAUUAGUCCUCCAGCCGCCAUCAGUCCUCCAGCAGCCAUCAGUCCUCCAGCCGCCAUCAGUCCUCCAGCCAUCAGUCCUCCAGCCAUCAGUCCUCCAGCAGCCAUCAGUCCUCCAGCCGCCAUCAGUCCUCCAGCAGCCAUUAGUCCUCCAGCCAUUAGUCCUCCAGCAGCCAUCAGUCCUCCAGCCGCCAUCAGUCCUCCAGCCAUCAGUCCUCCAGCUGCCAUCAGUCCUCCAGCCGCCAUCAGUCCUCCAGCAGCCAUUACUCCUCCAGCCAUCAGUCCUCCCAGCCACCAUCAGUCCUCCAGCUGCCAUCAGUCCUCCAGCUAUCAGUCCUCCAACAGCCAUCAGUCCUCCAGCUGCCAUCAGUCCUCCAGCCAUCAGUCCUCCAGCCGCCAUCAGUCCUCCAGCCACCAUUAG